UACAGAGGGUGCAAGCGUUGUUCGGAAUCAUUGGGCGUAAAGGGCGUGUAGGCGGUUUGUUAAGUCAUGUGUGAAAUCCCUCGGCUCAACAGGGGAACGACGCAUGAAACUGGCAAGCUAGAGUACCAAAGAGGGCGGUGGAAUUCCCGGUGUAGCGGUGAAAUGCGCAGAUAUCAGGAGGUACACCAACGGCGAAGGCAGCUCUCUGGGACGUUACUGACGCUGAGACGCGAAAGCGUGGGGAGCAAACAGG
rnacentral:rRNA from 1 species